UGCAGGGGUGUGCACAAUGCUCUUGGUGCACUGGUGCCCAAACGACAUGCAAUAAAUAUAAAACGCGGCUAUCUUGUUGAAUCCGGAGAAGAAAAGAACAAACGUUGUUUUUCUGAUAAAAAAAGAACAAACGUUGUUCUUUUGUUAAAAAAAAGAACAAACGUUGUUCUUUUGUUAAAAAAAAGAACAAUGACUGCUCUGUCCCUUUUUUUUCGUUCUUUUGUUUUUCACUCUAUUUUUCUGGUAUAUAUACCUUCUUUUUUAUAAUUUUCAAAUCAGAAUUUGUGAAGAGGAGAGAGAAAAACUAUGGAAAGGAGAGAGAAACUGUGAAGAGGAGAGAGAAAGUAAUGGAAAAUUCUCAGAUAUUGGUUGAUUUUUCUACUUCAAUAUCAAAUUCUAUUGAUUCUUCUUCUUCAAAUUUGAAUUCCUCUGCUGAUAAUCCGAUUUGUGAAGGUAAUUUUUCAAUUUUUUAAAACGAAUUACUUAUUUAUGAUGAUUUUGAUUUCCAUGUUCAUUAUUUUCAUCAUUUCAAUUUAUUUUGAUUUUUUUGAUCAUUUCGAUUUCUGCAUUUCUCAAUAACCUUGAUUAAUGUAUUUUGAUUCUAUAUUUUGAUAAUUUUGAUGAUUAAUGUAUCUUGAUUAUAUAUUUCUGAUGAUUUUGAUUUCUGUUCUUUUUUCGAUUUUAUAUGUUCUUUUAGUCUUAUCUUUUGUUCUUUUAUAUAUUGGUUCUCAUAUAUGUAUUAAGAGAUUGUAAUAAUACAGAAAAUAAUUAUUGAACAUGUUGUUCUUUUUUGCUUUAGGUUGUUGUUCUUUGUUCUUUUUUGCUUUAACUUGUUGUUCUUUUGAUAUUACACACUUCAGAUCAAAUUGUUCUUUUACCAUUUUUGUUGUUCUUUUAUUUUUUUGUUGUUCUUUUUUCACAUGGUUAAAAUAAGUGUUCUACAUGAUAUGUUCUUUUCUGCUAUUUUUAAUGUUCUUUUUCUUUACUUUAUUAUGUUCUUUUAUGCUCUAUUGUUGUUCGUUUUUUUAUUGGUAAUGUUGUUUUACAUGGUUAAAAUAAGUGUUCUACAUGAUAUGUUCUUUUCUGUAUUUAUAAUGUUCUUUUUCUUUAUUUAUAAUGUUCUUUUAGGUUCAUCCUCUUUUUGUUCUUUUGAGGAAUUGCUCUGUUUAUUCAGCCUUUCUUCUUGUUCUUUCAGCUGUUUUUGAAGAUUUAACAUCAUUUGUUGCGGGUCAAGUAAAAGCUUCAUUUGCUCUUCAAUACUGUACUUUUGAAAAAAGAACAAACAUAAAAGAACAUUAAGAUUUAUAUCUAAUAAACAUAAAAGAACAGAACAACAAAACCCAAAAAAAAAUAAAACAAGUGCACCGUUCUUAUCAUGAACAUGGCUUGUAUUUCUUCUCCUUCCCCCUCUUUUUUUUUAUUUUUUUUAUUUUUCAUUUUCUAUAUAUGUAAUAUUUCUCCUAUUGGAUUCAUAAAUUCUCAUUUUAGAAACACAUUUUUGAGAGAGAAAGAGGAGUGCUUUUAGUUUCUCCCAACAAAAGAGAGAUUUUAUGAGAGAGAAAGUUCAAAACAAAUUUUCUCCCCCUUCUUUCUCUGAAAUGUGAUUUUAAUUGAAUUACGUUUACAAAAAACUAGUUUAUUAAGCGAAAUACUAUUUCAAUUUCGCUAUUUUUUGAAUUUUUUUAUUCAUUCAAAGAGGUUUAUGCUGUUGAUGAAGGUGCAUCGGGUGAUUAAGGUGCACCAAGAGCACCAUGCACACCCCUGCACAAUCUGAGCGUUGGUACUAGUACAGUAGUACUACAUAUUUGUGUUCUUAAUUAAGGAAAAUUCUCGUUUAAUUAUGUCAUGUUGGCAAAUUUUUAUAGUAUAUCUAAGGAGAUAUAUAUAUGUAUAUAUAUUUUUUUUAUUUUUUUUUGACAAGUCUAAGGAGAUAUAUUAUACGGAGUACUUCGUAACUUUAACAGGAAAAAAGAAUAAUAUCUAGGGUGUAUUGUCAACUAAUGAUUAAAAGCAUGACAACUAGAGUUAUAUGUUUCAUCAUUAUGUAUUGUGAAUUUGUGAUCUUCCCCUAAUUAAGUUUGUUAAUUAAUUGAUUCA